GAAGCGUGGCGCCUCGCUUUUAUAUACCCCCGGUAAGCCCCGCCCCCCGCGGGAGCCAAUGGGGCUCCGUGCCCAGAACGACCCGCGCGCGUUUUCACCGCCCCGGCGCAUGCGCGGCUCCCGCGGGCCGGAGCUGACACCGGAACUCCUGAGCCGGCAGCUCCGAACGGCAAGAAAAUAACACAAACACCGCAAGAGAGGUUAUUUUGGUACAAGGAUCAGCAACACCAAGGGGUGCGGAGACCCCGCCCAAACUCCGCUCCAGACCCCUCCUGCAGCCUCCAGCCAGCCCAGCACAUCCUGAUCCUAGCCCAGGAGCAACAGCAGAGGGUGCGGAGGCCCCAGCAGGAACUCCGCUCCUCAGGGCCCGCCCCCACCUCAAACUCAAGUGAGCACCAACACAAACCACCCAGCCCCAGCCACUGCCCAGGAGGACGAUGGACACCGCCUGAGCCUCCCAAUUCCCACAGAAAAUCUUCAUCCCGGCCCAAGAGGAACAACAAGGGCUGUGGGGAACACCCCACUGGUGCCUCUGCUCCGGGUGACACCUGCAGCCGCUCUGAGCUCGGCACGGACACAGACAACGCCGCCGCCCCAGCAAGGGGAGGAGAUGGGGAUGAGCUGAUCCCCUCACCCCAAUGAGGAUGGAGACCCCCGACAUUUUCCCAGGGUGAGAAGGAUGGAGACGUCCCCGAUCAUCCCGUGGGGUGAGAGGGGCAGGGAAACUUCCCCACAGCCCCUCCAGACAUCCCCUGGGCACAGAGGGACACAGACCCCUUGAGCAUCCCUAAAUCAUUACAUCUACCAACACAUAAACUGAUUGGGCUGAUAAUUUGGCUGAUGAUUUGGCUGAUCCUUGACUCUCCCAAGGAGUCACUGGCAACGAAAAUGCGAACAAAGCACAAAGCCCCCGGCCUUCCCCCAGGGUGAGGAGCACAGGCCAGGCAGAGACUCCAUCCCUGUCUCAGCUGGGGGUUUUCCAUGGUUCAAUUGUUCCGUGGCUUUAGAGGCACAGGGACACCUUCCCCCGGAACGCGGCGCUGCCCUCGGGGCCGGGCAGUUCCCGCUCCGCGCCCGCCCCCUCCAAACGGGAGCGGCCCCGGCCGGCCCCGGCUCUGCAGAGGCUCGGACCGAGAAGCGCCGGGGCACGGAGGGACCGUGCCGGCCCCUCCAAACCGCAGGGCUUUGGCCAUCGCCCCGGCCUGCCAAAGGUAAGGCCAAAAUAAAAGUGGCAAAAAUCACUUCAGAUGCUCUGACUGAUCUUUGCUUGCCCAACGAGUCACAAACAAACCGCAGGGACACCGGACCUUGGCACACGGAGGGACA